AUUGAACGCUGGCGGCAUGCUUUACACAUGCAAGUCGAACGGUAACAGCACUUCGGUGGCUGACGAGUGGCGAACGGGUGAGUAAUACAUCGGAACGUGCCUAGUAGUGGGGGAUAACUACUCGAAAGAGUAGCUAAUACCGCAUGAGAUCUAAGGAUGAAAGCAGGGGACCUUCGGGCCUUGCGCUACUAGAGCGGCUGAUGGCAGAUGAGGUAGUUGGUGGGAUAAAAGCUUACCAAGCCGACGAUCUGUAGCUGGUCUGAGAGGACGACCAGCCACACUGGGACUGAGACACGGCCCAGACUCCUACGGGAGGCAGCAGUGGGGAAUUUUGGACAAUGGGCGCAAGCCUGAUCCAGCAAUGCCGCGUGCAGGAUGAAGGCCUUCGGGUUGUAAACUGCUUUUGUACGGAACGAAAAGCCCUCUUCUAAUACAGGAGGGUCAUGACGGUACCGUAAGAAUAAGCACCGGCUAACUACGUG
rnacentral:rRNA from 1 species